rnacentral:lncRNA from 1 species
AAGAGGCCAGACCAGCUAGAGGGUGGGUGUCUGACAUGCUGAGGGGGCAGGGGCAGGGCCUGGAGAAUAAGAGUGGCACCUCUCAAGCCCAGGCUCAAGCUCAAGGACAGAGCCCAGGCUCAGGUAGAGAGGAACCACAAGGACGGGCCACCAUCGGCACUGCGCUGAGACCCAGGCACUAUAGAAUUCAGAAGAUAGGAGUCUAGCAGCCUCCAGACAGGGCAAGGAGGGGACAGAGAAAGAUGUGGGUGCAGGACGCACAGACACCUCUCCUUCCCUGCCUGCUGAGCCACCCUCACCAGGUCUCACUUGCCCUGUCCCCCAGGUGAGAAAUCUGCAGUGAAGAAAGGUACAUCCCAAGGGGACACCGACAGUAAGCAGCGGAGCUGGGAUUCCAGACACGUGGCUGGGCCUCUGCAGGAAGAAAUCAAACGUGUGGAAGGGUUGGGGAGAGGAGAUGCCUAGAAGGGAUUUUCCUGUAUUCUCUUAGUGGUGGGGCCCAGGAUGUGGCAGCUGGUGGUGUUGGCUGAGCAGUCCCUCUCCAGGGGAAGGGGCUGGAUGAGUUCAGAGAGUUUGGCUGGGCGUGCCAGGCGCAACAGCAUGAUGUCCUGGUCAUGGCUGGCGGCAUCAUAGUCAGGGUGGAUCACAGCCCGGACAACAGAACUCUGCUCCUGGGAACUCUCCCUUUGCCGAAGGUUAUGCUUCCCCAGGAAGACCUGAAGAUUCCUGGGAAGGAAGAGGGCUGGGUCUCACCUGGAGCCCUUGGGCUGCAGUUGAGGCUUCAGAGAGGGCUGGGAAGUCAUGAAUCGCUGGCCUGCUCCUCCCA